rnacentral:lncRNA from 1 species
AACAGCUAAACAGCUAAUCCCAGGUCUUCUUUUUUUUUCUCCUUUUGUACAAUAGCUUUUGUAGCAGGAAGAAAAUUAACAGCAGGUGAAAUCUUCUAAAGGGACAGAUCGAAUUUCAGUUCAACUCAAAACGGUUUAUUUCUCACCCUUAAUGGUCAGUGGAGGAUCCAGCCCCGAUAACAGUCUCCUCCAGGUUCAGCCAGCUUUGGGGGUGCAUUCAGUCUAAGGAUCAGCCUGGGGAGUUCAGUCAUCAUUUUGAAGACAGCUGCUUGGAUUGGGAUAAUCCACAGAGUUGAUUGGGGAACACUGCGGGAGUGAAACGAACCGA